rnacentral:rRNA from 1 species
UACGGGGGGGGGCAAGCGUUGUUCGGAAUUACUGGGCGUAAAGGGCUCGUAGGCGGCCAACUAAGUCAGACGUGAAAUCCCUCGGCUUAACCGGGGAACUGCGUCUGAUACUGGUUGGCUUGAAUCCGGGAGAGGGAUGUGGAAUUCCAGGUGUAGCGGUGAAAUGACGUAGAUAUCUGGAGGAACACCGGUGGCGAAGGCGGCAUCCUGGACCGGUAUUGACGCUGAGGAGCGAAAGCCAGGGGAGCAAACGGG